rnacentral:tRNA from 1 species
GAUUUAAUAGUUUAAAAAAAACAAUGGUCUUGUAAAUCAUUAUUGAUCUUGCGUCUUAAAUCU